UUGUAUACGAUUCCAUAAGACACAUGAAAAUUAAAGCCAAUUGAAAACAAAAAAGUAGGCUGGAGUAUGAGCCUGUGAGUUUCUUUAUAUUAUGCAGUUGCCCUAUUCUCACAUAGGGUAAGAUUGAGAGCAGUGCAAAAGUGCCACAGAUGGAUGCAAGGCAAAGAUACUGGUGUCGCAGGCCUGAUAGGGAGCCUUCACAAAUGCUACACUGCUUAUAAAUAAUGUCCAAUUCAUUUCCCCUGGAAAGUGGAACAAUGCUCUUUAGUCUAUUGCUUGGACAUCUCCUCCAAAUGACUCUCUACAGGCGUGGGUGAUGAAAUGGGACAGUCCCCCAAUGGCUCUCAGCCCAGGAGGACCCAACUUCUGAAUGGUGUAAGCGAUGGUUAAUAUGCUCGGCUCUGGGACCCGCUGACUCCAGCUCUGCCGUUGUCAAGACCCAGACUGAUCUGAGUAUUGGGUUACUUCUGGAAUGCUUGGUUGUAUAUUAGUGCCCAGAACUUCUCACAGUCCUAUCUGGUC